rnacentral:tRNA from 1 species
GCCGUUGUAGCUCAAGCAGAGCGCCGCCCAUUUAAGGCGGGUCACAUUGACGAUACGCGGAGAGUGCCUGCUUCCGGCCUUGUCACCCCGGGAGCACACACUCCGUGGUGCUGGUUCAAGUCCAGCCAUCGGCUA